CACAUACUCCCUCCGUCUGAAAAUACUUGUCAUCAAAAUGGAUAAAAAGGGAUGUAUCUAGAACUAAAAUACGUCUAGAUACAUCUCCUUUUAUCCAUUUUGAUGACAAGUAUUUCCGGACGGAGGGAGUAUGUU
rfam:Triticum urartu cultivar G1812 contig1046702, whole genome shotgun sequence.